rnacentral:rRNA from 1 species
UUUAUGGAGAGUUUGAUCCUGGCUCAGGAUGAACGCUGGCGGCGUGCCUAAUACAUGCAAGUCGAGCGAACUGACGAGGAGCUUGCUCCUUUGACGUUAGCGGCGGACGGGUGAGUAACACGUGGGUAACCUACCUAUAAGACUGGAAUAACUCCGGGAAACCGGGGCUAAUGCCGGAUAACAUAUCGAACCGCAUGGUUCGAUAGUGAAAGACGGUCUUGCUGUCACUUAUAGAUGGACCCGCGCCGUAUUAGCUAGUUGGUGAGGUAACGGCUCACCAAGGC